GAUUUGCAGAAUUCAGUGAAUCAUCGAAUCUUUGAACGCAUCUUGCGCUCCCUGGUAUUCCGGGGGGCACGCCUGUUCGAGUGUCCUGAAAUUUCUCAAGCUGAGAUGUUUUUCUUAGUCUUGGUGUUGGGCUCUGCCGUGUCUCUUAUUGGGAUGGCUGGCCUUAAAAGCAUUAGCUGACCUUUAUGUGGGCAAUUGGUUCUACUCAGCGUGAUUAAUAAUUUUGACCGCUGAGGACAUCUUUGGGGAUGGCCAGUUCUCAUUUGGGUUGCUUCUAAUCUUGGUUGUACGGAUUCUUAAUCUGUGUGCCUCGUUUUUCAGCUUUGACCUCGAAUCAGGUGGGACUACCCGCUGAACUUAAGCAUAUCAUGGGCGG
rnacentral:rRNA from 1 species